GAUGAACGCUGGCGGCGUGCCUAAUACAUGCAAGUCGAGCGAACAGACGAGGAGCUUGCUCCUCUGACGUUAGCGGCGGACGGGUGAGUAACACGUGGAUAACCUACCUAUAAGACUGGGAUAACUUCGGGAAACCGGAGCUAAUACCGGAUAAUAUAUUGAACCGCAUGGUUCAAUAGUGAAAGACGGUUUUGCUGUCACUUAUAGGUGGAUCCGCGCCGCAGUAGCUAGUUGGUAAGGUAACGGCUUACCAAGGAGACGAUGCGUGACCGACCUGAGAGGGGGCUCGGCCACACUGGAACUGAGACACGGCCCAGACCCCUACGGGAGGCAGCAGUAGGGAAUCUUCCGCAAUGGGCGAAAGCCUGACGAAGCAACGCCGCGUGAGUGAUGAAGCUCUUCGGAUCGUAAACCUCUGUUAUCAGGGAAGAACAAAUGUGUAAGUAACUAUGCACGUCUUGACGGUACCUAAUCAGAAAGCCACGGCUAACUACGU
rnacentral:rRNA from 1 species